UACGGAGGGUGCAAGCGUUAUCCGGAUUCACUGGGUUUAAAGGGUGCGUAGGUGGGCAGGUACGUCAGUGGUGAAAUCUCUGGGCUUAACUCAGAAACUGCCAUUGAUACUAUCUGUCUUGAAUACCGUGGAGGUCAGCGGAAUAUGUCAUGUAGCGGUGAAAUGCUUAGAUAUGACAUAGAACACCAAUUGCGGAGGCAGCUGGCUACACGAAUAUUGACACUGAUGCACGAAAGCGUGGGGAUCAAACAGG
rnacentral:rRNA from 1 species